rnacentral:ncRNA from 1 species
GAAUUAAAGUAUAGUUUUAUGAAAAAAAGAUUUUAAUUUUCUUUAUAUUAAUUAUAUUAUAAAUUUAAUUUUUAUUAAUAGAAGAAUUUUUUUAAAUUUUUAAAAAUUUAAAAAAAGAAAUUAAAUUAGAUUUGGCGAAACUUGUGCCAGCCGCCGCGGUUAUACAAGUAAGUCGAUUUUUUUUUAUUUUAUGAAAAUAAAUAAUUUUUUUUAUUAUAAAAAUUUAUUUGGGUGAAAUCAAUAAAUUUUUAUUUAAAUAGAAAAGAUUGGAUUUUUGUAAUUUAUUAUAUAAACUAGGAUUAGAUACCCUAUUAUUAUAAGCUAUAUUUUGUUAGUAACUAAAUACUAUGAAACCAAAAAAUUUUGGCGGUAUUUUAAGCUUUUUAGAGGAAUUUGCUCUUUUAUGGAUAAAACGCCUAAAUCUUACUUAAUUUUGUUAAAUCAGUUUGUAUACCACUAUAGUUAAUAAUAUUAAAUAAUAGAUCAUUAAAAUUUUUUUUCAAAAAUAAUAAAUUAAGUCAAGGUGCAGCAUAAGAUUAAGGAUGAAGUGAAUUACAUUGAUUUUUAUUAUCGAGAAAAAAAAAUAUGAAAGUUUAAUUUUAGGAUUUAAAAGUAAAUUUAUAAUAUAAUGAUUAAUUGAAAUAAGCUCUAAAAUAUGCACAUAUCGCCCGUCGCUCUCUAAUUGGGAUAAGUCGUAACAAAGUAAAAAUACUGGAAAGUGUUUUUUAAGAUG